AAUGGAUAGCUUCAUGGAAUCCAGAGGAACUCCAAAAUAUCUAAAAGGAAGUUGUCCUUCAGUAAAGCCAAGAGCAUCAAUAAUCAUCUCUCUAGUAUCCUGAGGAAUUCUUGCUAAAUAUAUAGCACUCUUGCCAACAUUUGCCUGAAGUCCAGAAGCAUUUGGGAAUUUGAGGAAAGUGCUGUGCAAGAUUUGAAUAGACAUCAUAUCAGCUCUAC
rnacentral:lncRNA from 1 species